GAACGGUAGCACAGAGAGCUUGCUCUCGGGUGACGAGUGGCGGACGGGUGAGUAAUGUCUGGGAAACUGCUGAUGGAGGGGGAUAACUACUGGAAACGGUAGCUAAUACCGCAUAACGUCGCAAGACCAAAGAGGGGGACCUUCGGGCCUCUUGCCAUCAGAUGUGCCCAGAUGGGAUUAGCUAGUAGGUGGGGUAACGGCUCACCUAGGCGACGAUCCCUAGCUGGUCUGAGAGGAUGACCAGCCACACUGGAACUGAGACACGGUCCAGACUCCUACGGGAGGCAGCAGUGGGGAAUAUUGCACAAUGGGCGCAAGCCUGAUGCAGCCAUGCCGCGUGUAUGAAGAAGGCCUUCGGGUUGUAAAGUACUUUCAGCGGGGAGGAAGGUGUUGUGGUUAAUAACCACAGCAAUUGACGUUACCCGCAGAAGAAGCACCGGCUAACUCCGUGCCAGCAGCCGCGGUAAUACGGAGGGUGCAAGCGUUAAUCGGAAUUACUGGGCGUAAAGCGCACGCAGGCGGUCUGUCAAGUCGGAUGUGAAAUCCCCGGGCUCAACCUGGGAACUGCAUUCGAAACUGGCAGGCUAGAGUCUUGUAGAGGGGGGUAGAAUUCCAGGUGUAGCGGUGAAAUGCGUAGAGAUCUGGAGGAAUACCGGUGGCGAAGGCGGCCCCCUGGACAAAGACUGACGCUCAGGUGCGAAAGCGUGGGGAGCAAACAGGAUUAGAUACCCUGGUAGUCCACGCCGUAAACGAUGUCGACUUGGAGGUUGUGCCCUUGAGGCGUGGCUUCCGGAGCUAACGCGUUAAGUCGACCGCCUGGGGAGUACGGCCGCAAGGUUAAAACUCAAAUGAAUUGACGGGGGCCCGCACAAGCGGUGGAGCAUGUGGUUUAAUUCGAUGCAACGCGAAGAACCUUACCUACUCUUGACAUCCAGAGAACUUUCCAGAGAUGGAUUGGUGCCUUCGGGAACUCUGAGACAGGUGCUGCAUGGCUGUCGUCAGCUCGUGUUGUGAAAUGUUGGGUUAAGUCCCGCAACGAGCGCAACCCUUAUCCUUUGUUGCCAGCGGUCCGGCCGGGAACUCAAAGGAGACUGCCAGUGAUAAACUGGAGGAAGGUGGGGAUGACGUCAAGUCAUCAUGGCCCUUACGAGUAGGGCUACACACGUGCUACAAUGGCGCAUACAAAGAGAAGCGACCUCGCGAGAGCAAGCGGACCUCAUAAAGUGCGUCGUAGUCCGGAUUGGAGUCUGCAACUCGACUCCAUGAAGUCGGAAUCGCUAGUAAUCGUAGAUCAGAAUGCUACGGUGAAUACGUUCCCGGGCCUUGUACACACCGCCCGUCACACCAUGGGAGUGGGUUGCAAAAGAAGUAGGUAGCUUAACCUUCGGGAGGGCGCUUACCACUUUGUGAU
rnacentral:rRNA from 1 species